rnacentral:rRNA from 1 species
UACGUAGGGUGCGAGCGUUGUCCGGAAUUAUUGGGCGUAAAGAGCUUGUAGGCGGUUUGUCGCGUCUGCCGUGAAAAUCCGGGGCUCAACCCCGGACUUGCGGUGGGUACGGGCAGACUAGAGUGUGGUAGGGGAGACUGGAAUUCCUGGUGUAGCGGUGAAAUGCGCAGGAUAUCAGGAGGAACACCGAUGGCGAAGGCAGGUCUCUGGGCCACUACUGACGCUGAGAAGCGAAAGCGUGGGGAGCGAACAGG